UACGUAGGGUGCAGGCGUUAAUCGGAAUUACUGGGCGUAAAGGGUGCGUAGGCGGCGCGGUAAGUCGGGUGUGAAAUCGAUCGGAGCUUAACUCCGAAACUGCAUUCGAUACUGCCGUGCUUGAGGACUGGAGAGGAGACGUGGAAUUUGACGGUGUAGCGGUGAAAUGCGUAGAUAUCGUAAGGAAGACCAGUGGCGAAGGCGGGUCUCUGGACAGUUCCGUGACGGCUGGAGGCAACGGAAAGGCCAGGGGGACGCAAAACGGGG
rnacentral:rRNA from 1 species